AGGUGUCUACAGCUAUAAUUUGUCCUUGGAACACUGCUUUUGCUACAUCCCAUAGAUUUUGGAGUCUGGUCUGUCUCUGUUGCCCAGGCUGGAGUACAUGGUACCAUCAUAGCUCACUGCAGCCUCAAACUCCUGAGCUCAAGUGAUCCUCCCACCUCAGCCUCCUGUGUAGCUGAGACUAUCAGCUGCACUACCACACCUGGCUAGCACCUUUCGAUAAGCUGGUCUCGAACUCCUGGGCUCAAGUGAUACUCCUGCCUUGGCCUCUCAAAGUGCUGGGAUUAGACGUGAGCCACUGUGCCUGGCCUAAGUCAGUUUUUCUACAAGCAAUGGAAGAGAUUGCUGAUUUUUGUUUGUUUUCAGUUAACUACCAG